AUUGAACGCUGGCGGCAGGCCUAACACAUGCAAGUCGAGCGGAGCGGCGGACGGGUGAGUAAUACCUAGGAAUCUGCCUGGUAGUGGGGGAUAACGUCCGGCAACGGACGCUAAUACCGCAUACUAUCAGAUGAGCCUAGGUCGGAUUAGCUAGUGUGUGGGGUAAUGGCUUACCAAGGCUACGAUCCGUCACUGGUCUGAGAGGAUGAUCAGUCACCAUGGAACUGGGACACGGUCCAGACUCCGACGGGAGGAAGCAGUGGGGAAUAUGGGACAAGGGGCGAAAGCCUGAACGAGCCAUGCCGCGUGUGUGAAGAAGGUCUUCGGAUUGUAAAGCACUUUAAGUUGGGAGGCGUUACCGACAGAAUAAGCACCGGCUAACUCUGUGCCAGCAGCCGCGGUAAUUC
rnacentral:rRNA from 1 species